AUGGAGGUGGCUGCCUCAGUGAAUCUCACUCAAGUCAAUUCUAAACCUGAAACUGAUAACUCCAAUAACAAGAACACUGAACAAGCUGUGAAUUCAACCUUUAAUCCAACCUAUUCAAGAGGAGGUCAUGCAUCUGGCCGUGGUGGUGGACGGGACCGUAGGAGAGGUAGGUUCAACAACAUUCAAUGUCAAGUUUGCUUCAAAUAUGGUCACCUUGCUGCUAACUGCUAUCACAGGUUCAAUUAA